rnacentral:rRNA from 1 species
GUGCCAGCCGCCGCGGUAAUACGAAGGGUGCAAACGUUGCUCGGAAUUAUUGGGCGUAAAGCGCACGUAGGCGGCUUAGCAAGUCGGAAGUGAAAUCCCUCGGCUCAACCAAGGAAGUGCUUUCGAAACUGCUGAGCUUGAGUACAAAAGAGGAUCGCGGAAUUCCCGGUGUAGAGGUGAAAUUCGUAGAUAUCGGGAGGAACACCAGUGGCGAAGGCGGCGAUCUGGGUUGAUACUGACGCUGAGGUGCGAAAGCGUGGGGAGCGAACAGGAUUAGAUACCCUGGUAGUCC